rnacentral:rRNA from 1 species
AUACGAAGGGGGCUAGCGUUGUUCGGAAUCACUGGGCGUAAAGCGCGCGUAGGUGGAUCAAUUAGUUGAGGGUGAAAUCCCGGGGCGCAACCUCGGAACUGCCUUCAAUACUGUUGAUCUUGAGACCGAGAGAGGUGAGUGGAAUUCCUAGUGUAGAGGUGAAAUUCGUAGAUAUUAGGAAGAACACCAGUGGCGAAGGCGGCUCACUGGCUCGGUACUGACGCUGAGGUGCGAAAGCGUGGGGAGCAAACAGGAUUAGAAACCCUAGUAGUCC